rnacentral:rRNA from 1 species
AUGAUCACUUUCCACCAACAGUCAGGUAAAAGAAGGGCUCUAGAUAAAGGGCCUUGGACGUUCGGGAAGUCUCUACUGGUGGUUGAAGAUUUUGAUCCGAGCAAGAGUGUGAAGGAAUAUGAAUUCAAAACGAUUCUGAUAUGGGUUAGAGUUUUUGACUUGCCGCUAGGUAUGAUGCACCGUGAGGCUGGUUUGGCGAUAGGAGACAUAAUUGGGGAGGCUCUUGAGGUGGAUGCGGGACCUGACAGAAUGGCAGUGGGAAAGUUCUUAAGGAUCAUAGUCCAUAUGGAUAUUUUGAAGCCGAUAAUGAGGGGUUUUGUGCUGGAUGAUGGGGACGAAAAGGAGAAUGGGGAAGGGAUGUUAACCGAUGAGGAGAAAAAGAGGAAAAAGGAGAAGAGUUGGUGCCGGUUUGAGUACGAGUUUCUGCCUGACUUGUGCUACAUAUGCGGCAUGCUAGAUCAUGUGGAUAAGGACUGUUCCAUAAGACUGAAGAAAGGGGAAGAGAAGCAGUUUGGUCCUUGGCUUGAAGCACACAUACCAAGAGCAGCGAGCGAUACAAGCAAGGGUAGAUGGAGUGAAGGUCGGAACAACCUUUCUGGGAGGAGUUCUGGAGGUGGAAGAAGCAUGAACCUAGGGCUCUCUAAGGGGCGUUCGGGCAGUGAUAGCGACAACUAG